GUAAAUAUAGUUUAUCAAAAUGUUAGACCGUGAUUCUAAAGAUAGAAGCAAGACCUUCUUAUUUACC
rnacentral:tRNA from 1 species